rnacentral:rRNA from 1 species
UACAGAGGGGGCAAGCGUUAUUCGGAAUUAUUGGGCGUAAAGGGCGCGUAGGCGGCCUGACAAGUGGAAGGUGAAAUCCCUCGGCUUAACCGAGGAACUGCCUUCCAAACUGUUUGGCUUGAGUCCGGGAGAGGCGAGUGGAAUUCCCAGUGUAGCGGUGAAAUGCGUAGAUAUUGGGAGGAACACCAGUGGCGAAGGCGGCUCGCUGGACCGGAACUGACGCUGAGGCGCGAAAGCGUGGGGAGCAAACAGG